GAUUAUGGCUCAGGAUGAACGCUAGCGGCAGGCUUAACACAUGCAAGUCGAGGGGCAGCGUGGAGUAGCAAUACUCUGACGGCGACCGGCGAAAGGGUGAGUAACGCGUGAGCAACAUGCCCGAUACUGGAGGAUAGUCGAUGGAAACGUCGCGUAAUACUCCGUAACAUAGGGGACCGCAUGAUUCUCUAUUAAUAGAUUUAUCGGUAUCGGAUUGGCUCGCGUACCAUUAGCUAGUUGGCGGGGUAACGGCCCACCAAGGCGACGAUGGUUAGGGGUUCUGAGAGGAAGGUCCCCCACAUUGGAACUGAGACACGGUCCAGACUCCUACGGGAGGCAGCAGUGAGGAAUAUUGGACAAUGGCCGAGAGGCUGAUCCAGCCAUGCCGCGUGCCGGGAGGACGGCCCUAUGGGUUGUAAACCGCUUUUGUUGGGGAGCAAUAAGGGUCACGUGUGACCUGAUGAGAGUACCCAGCGAAUAAGCAUCGGCUAACUCCGUGCCAGCCGCGGC
rnacentral:rRNA from 1 species